GCAGUGUUCCAGUCUGUUCGUCCUGCACCUUGAUGGUUGAAGAGCAAUUGUACUCGGUCCAUCCAAUGGCUUGAUGUUCAAGAUCAUACAAAACUAGCUUAUUUGAAAGUACUAAAUCUCCUAAAAGAGUCAUGUUUCUUCUAUCCCUUGAUUGCAUCCCGCUGUUCUGCCAUCCAAUACACCACAAACCUUCAAAGGGGAAUAGAUACUCUUGUGGAUAAACCUUCAAGAAAACUGAAUUUUCAAAAUAAAAA
rnacentral:misc_RNA from 1 species